rnacentral:lncRNA from 1 species
GUGUCACUUUUGUGUUGGCCUCUAUUAGUUGCUUUUUACUGGUGGCCUCUGGUGGUGGCAUUUUAUUUGUGGACAUCUUUCCCUGUCCUUGUCUCUGACAGGUAAAACCUUUGCCACCUUUGCAAAUUGACUGGGAUAAAACAAGUUCUUCUGGAGUACUUACCUGUUACCUCCUGCCUCAGCAAGGCAAAACAGAGCAAGAGGACAUUUGGGAGGAAGAUGCCAGCCACAAUAUGGAGAAAGAAGGAUGUCACGAGGAAACUGAGCAUGCAGACUUUCAGCAAAGAAUAAAUAAUCUAGAAAACAUGGAUAUUAAAUCACAUGAAUUGUUGUUCUAUGGAGGUGGGAUCCGAGGGUGAAUGUAGACUGUGGUAAUGAAAAGGAACAGGAGGAUAACAAGAAUAAUGGCAUCGGGACAAUUUUUAUCGAUAAACAAGGGAUAUAUUGUGAAAUAUUGGAGAACAAAGCAUGUGGACUGAGGAAAGGUGAGCACGAUGAUGAGAGGAAGAACAAAAGAGAUGACGGGAAGGCAAGUGUUGGAAAAGGGAAAACGUUGAGCACAGUAGAUUGUGAAAAAGAGAGUGACAUUGAGGGAGGAAUGGAGAAAUCGAUCGAAGGAAAAGAGGAAAGGGAAAUAGAGGGAGAAAUAAAGAGUAUGCUGGAGGACAACAUGGAGAGUUUGAGUGAGGACGAUGGAAAACACAAAGCUAAAGAAGAGUUAAUUGAUGGACAAAGUAAAUCAAGUGAUGUCGAAUUCGAAGAAGACGAAGAUAUCGGAAGUAUUCCUGAAGGAGGUGAAGAAGAGGAGAGAGAAGAAAGCAUUGAUAAGCGGCGAAGAGUGAAAGUCACAUUUUUUACAGAGAGCAACAUUUCAGAUAAGGUGUCUACCUUGAAUCGACCUCCAACCCCUCAUCCACGAGAAUCAUGCCAGGACCUUUUGUCCUCAGUACCGGUCGUGGAAAAUGUGGAGCAGACACCUUAUCUGCUGCAACCGGUGGAAGACGACUGGGAAAGUGAUUCUGAUGAGGAAAUGCCUGUGGCGGAUCUACUACCAGCAACCAUCACUCGACCAGCUCCACGUCUCCUGCAUCUUGCACCUCGUAUGACAGAGCAUGCCUUACAUCACACUCACACCAGCCUUGUUUUGCUUUUUCUUCAUUUAGAACAUAUUUUUACUCUUAACUUUAUUUUCUUUCUUUGCACUGAAUAUUCUUGCAACUUUUAGUGCAAGAAAUUACAAGGAAACUUAGGAACAGAAGCAAUGACUGUUUGGCCUUUUUUGUCACAAGAUUAAUGAUGUCCUCCUCAAACAGGCCUUUUUUGCUUUGAAGGAUUAGCAUAGCAGAAAUUACAAAGCAAGGGGGUAUUUGGAAAUGUGGAUAUUUAGAAAAGACAGGCUUAUUGUGGGCUGGCAGGAUAGCCUAGAGGUAUGCACACUUGCAUCUGAAGCUGUCCAGCAACUGGGUUAGAAUAUCGGCCGAGCUAUAAACUGUCAUUCCGGUGUUUCAUCGGCAGGGUGAUUCAUCAUUGUGUGUGCCGUCCCUCAGAUGGACAUUAAAACAGGUGUUCCAUCUGCCGGCAUUAGUUGGCGGAUGUUAAAGAUCCCACGGUGUCCUUCACGAAGAGUAGGCAAACUAUUGCUAACACCAUGGCCAAAUUCUAAAUUCCUAUGCUUAUUUGUGACCAUAAACCAGAUACAGUUAUCAUACAAGACACCUCCUGACUUGGUGAAGAAUCUAAGCACAGAUCGUGUCUCACAACAGCCAAAACUACACAACUAGUGAGCAACAAUGGUCGUCUGUCACCUAACCUGUGUCAGAGUGGCAACCCAUCCAAGAUUGUAACCCUACUCAUAGAAACUGCUUCGACAGCACCAACGCUCUGUGCAAAGCAUGGCUCAUUAUCUGAGUGUUAUUGUCCUGAUUUCAUGAAGGAAUUAAUUAGAUCUUGCAUAGCGUAUAUUAUUGUCGCACAGAUAUGAUGUGGAAUAAUCAUCUGAGGAAAAAACAUGCACCUCAUCAUGUUUCUGAUGCAUUACAUUCAUAGAUAAGGGCAAUAAUUUAUAACUUGGCGAGUUACUUGCUCUUUUCGAAAGGUGCCAUUGCAUCUUUAACAUCAACAAGUGAAUGCCAGCAGAAGUAACAGCCAGCUUAACACUCCCCUUCAAAGGAUAGCUUCUUAUUAAUGCAACACACUGCUUAUGAAGCACUAGUGUGUCAGUUUAUAGCUGGGUCAGAAGUGGAGCCCAGACUUGGACAGCCAAAGACAAGUGGAUUACUUAUUCUCCUUCUUGUUGUACAAUAUUUACUUAAGGAUCAUACUACAGCUUGUACGUAAAUCACUGAAGGGCAAAGACCGUAGAAGACGUCGUUGCACUUUUAUAUGAAUUAUGAGGAUAUUAUUAGAGCAAUAGGUACAUGCAUCACAUUAAUUGCAUUAGUCAGCAGCAUUAAACAAAACACCAGAAUGACAGUUUGUUGUCGGGCUGGGAUUCCAACCCAGACGCGAUAAUUCAAAAACGAGCAGAUGCUCCGUCUGAGCUAUAUCCCAUCAACUCCUUGUCCGAUUAAAUCCAUUUUUUCAGGGUGUGUUGGAGUUAGGUUGAGAAGAGGCAGGUUCCUUUCGAAAAUGGGCAUGCUGCGAUUUUCAAUGUGGCCUCCAUGGCAGCCAUCUUGAAAUUGCUUUCCGUCGAUUUCGAGGAGAACGCCUUGUCCGAUUAAAGCCAUUUUUACAGGGUGUGUUGGGGUUGAGUAGAGGAAGGUUCCUUUUGAAAAUGGGCGUGCUGCGAUUUUCACUGUGGCCGCCAUGGCAGUCGUCUUGAAAUUGGUUUUCGUCAAGUUCAAGAACGGCUUGGCUUGUCCGAUUAAAUGCAUUUUUGCAGUGUGUGCGUGUGUGAGUUGAGUAGAGGAAGGUUCCUUUGGAAAAUGGGCGCGCUGCGAUUUUCACUAGCCACUACGAUAGCCAUCUUGAAGUCUGAUUGAUUUUUGAUACGACGUCCAAUGUGCUCUAACUGACUGCAUCAUCGUGAUAUCACUGCUUCCUUUUACAAUGCAUGGGCUGAGGGGUUACGCCCGCUUUGCUGAGCUAUUUUUAUGAUUGUGGUCUUUUUAUUUUUAUAAUAAAACCCUAAUAUCUUUGGCAUUUUACAAAUUUUGUUAUAGUUUUGAUAAGGCAAUGUUACUGAAACACAAAAUCUUCACCCCGUUGCACCAAUGGAGUCCCUAUCUACAACGCUUGUUUUCGUCAAAGUAGGCAUAUUGGGAGAGAAGACAUAACCAGGAGUUCACACAAUUUUUUUAUUUGGUUCUCCAAUAAGUACCAGCAGAAAUGGUUUGGUACUCACGAGAAAAAAAUGUCAGCUUUGAGCGUGCUCAUCUGCUUUCCCAAGCGCCACUCAGCUUCGUAUGCAUCUCUGUAACCACUCUCUUAGAACGUCCGCUCCAGACGAGACACUCACAAGCCGCUCUUUUUACAUUCCGGACACUCCUGAACCUUCUCUUCUUCGUCCUUGCUCGCAUGUU